GACGAACGCUGGCGGCGUGCCUAACACAUGCAAGUCGAGCGAAUGAAGUUUCUUCGGGAAUGGAUUUAGCGGCGGACGGGUGAGUAACACGUGGGCAACCUGCCUCAUAGAGGGGAAUAGCCUCCCGUAAGGGAGAUUAAUACCGCAUAAGCUUGUAGUACCGCAUGAUACAGCAAUUAAAGGAGCAAUCCGCGAUGAGAUGGGCCCGCGGCGCAUUAGCUAGUUGGUGAGGUAAUGGCUCACCAAGGCGACGAUGCGUAGCCGACCUGAGAGGGUGAUUGGCCACAUUGGGACUGAGACACGGCCCAGACUCCUACGGGAAGCAGCAAUGGGGAAUAUUGCACAAUGGGGGAAACCCUGAUGCAGCAACGCCGCGUGAGUGAUGACGGCCUUCGGGUUGUAAAGCUCGGUCUUCAGGGACGAUAAUGACGGUACCUGAGGAAGAAGCCACGGCUAACUACGUG
rnacentral:rRNA from 1 species